rnacentral:rRNA from 1 species
CCUACGGGUGGCAGCAGUGAGGAAUAUUGGUCAAUGGGCGAGAGCCUGAACCAGCCAAGUCGCGUCAGGGAGUACUGCCCUAUGGGUUGUAAACCUCUUUUGUCGGGGAGCAAAAGCCGGACGUGUCCGGCUGUGAGAGUACCCGAAGAAAAAGCAUCGGCUAACUCCGUGCCAGCAGCCGCGGUAAUACGGAGGAUGCGCGCGUUAUCCGGAUUUAUUUGGGUUAAAGGGGGCGCAGGCGGAUUUUUAAGUCAGCGGUAAAAUCGUGGGGCUCAACCCCAUCCAGCCGUUGAAACUGGGGAUCUAGAGUGUGCGAGAGGGAGGCGGAAUGCGUGGUGUAGCGGUGAAAUGCAUAGAUAUCACGCAGAACCCCGAUUGCGAAGGCAGCAUACCGGUGCACAACUGACGCUCAGGCACGAAAGCGUGGGUAUCGAACAGGAUUAGAUACCCCUGUAGUC